rnacentral:rRNA from 1 species
GACGAACGCUGGCGGCGUGCUUAACACAUGCAAGUCGAACGGAAAGGCCCCUUCGGGGGUACUCGAGUGGCGAACGGGUGAGUAACACGUGAGUAACCUGCCCUUGACUUCGGGAUAACUUCAGGAAACUGGGGCUAAUACCGGAUAGGAAUCCUUGCUGCAUGGUGGGGGUUGGAAAGCUUCGGCGGUUUUGGAUGGACUCGCGGCUUAUCAGCUUGUUGGUGGGGUAGUGGCUUACCAAGGCUUUGACGGGUAGCCGGCCUGAGAGGGCGACCGGCCACAUUGGGACUGAGAUACGGCCCAGACGCCUACGGGAGGCAGCAGUGGGGAAUAUUGCACAAUGGGCGAAAGCCUGAUGCAGCAACGCCGCGUGCGGGAUGACGGCCUUCGGGUUGUAAACCGCUUUCAGCAGGGGCGAAGCUUGUGGUGACGGUACCUGCAGAAGAAGCACCGGCUAACUACGUG